CAAUAGGACACCUCAUGCCUUAUACUAACCUCAAACAUUCCAUGUUCAAUCUGCACUAAAUUUCAUAUGCUUGAUAAAAGUGCUGGACUGAAGAAAUGUACAUGCCGAAAAUCCAUUAUAAUCAUAGCGCCACCUGUUGUCAAUAGGACACCUCAUGCCUUAUACUAACUCAAACAUUCCAUGUUCAAUCUGCACCAAAUUUCAUAUGCUUGAUAAAAGUGCUGGACUGAAGAAAUGUACAUGCUGAAAUCCAGUUAUAGUCAUACGCCACCAGCUGGCAGCAGGAAGAUUGGCACAUAUAAAUGACUUUGGCAUAUUCCUCUUAUAUUUACCACAUUAAACGCAUAUUUCUCGCCGUUCGCUGUUUUACAAAAGCCACCCGGUGGUGGUGAGCCCGGGUGCGAGGGCCCGUUCAUCGCUGCUUGCAGCUUUAAUUAGGGCUCAAGCCUGGAGGGCGAGAGCCCUAUUGUUUUCCUUAGGAUUAUUUGUUAUUAUUAUUAUUAUUUAUUAUUCUUAUUUUUUUUCAAGGUUUCGGGGGCUUUUAGGGCCCUUAACAUGCUUAAAAAGUCUUGAAAAUUGGC
ensembl:lncRNA